rnacentral:rRNA from 1 species
UUAACAGAGGGAUAGCCCAUAGAAAUGUGGAUUAAUACCUCAUAGUCCUGGGAGAUCGCAUGGUUUUCCAGGUAAAGCUCCGGCGGUUAAAGAUGGGCAUGCGUGACAUUAGCUAGUUGGUGAGGUAACGGCUCACCAAGGCAACGAUGUCUAGGGGUUCUGAGAGGAUGAUCCCCCACACUGGUACUGAGACACGGACCAGACUCCUACGGGAGGCAGCAGUGAGGAAUAUUGGUCAAUGGGCGCAAGCCUGAACCAGCCAUCCCGCGUGCAGGAUGACGGCCCUAUGGGUUGUAAACUGCUUUUGUACAGGAAGAAAAAUCCCUACGUGUAGGGACCUGCCGGUACUGUACGAAUAAGCAUCGGCUAACUCCGUGCCAGCAGCCGCGGUAAUACGGAGGAUCCAAGCGUUAUCCGGAAUCAUUGGGUUUAAAGGGUCCGUAGGCGGUCUUAUAAGUCAGUGGUGAAAGCCCAUCGCUCAACGAUGGAACUGCCAUUGAUACUGUAAGACUUGAAUGCUUAGGAAGUAACUAGAAUAUGUAGUGUAGCGGUGAAAUGCUUAGAUAUUACAUGGAAUACCAAUUGCGAAGGCAGGUUACUACUAAGUGAUUGACGCUGAUGGACGAAAGCGUGGGGAGCGAACAGGAUUAGAUACCCUGGUAGUCCACGCCGUAAACGAUGGAUACUAGCUGUUCGGCGCAAGUUGAGUGGCUAAGCGAAAGUGAUAAGUAUCCCACCUGGGGAGUACGCACGCAAGUGUGAAACUCAAAGGAAUUGACGGGGGCCCGCACAAGCGGUGGAGCAUGUGGUUUAAUUCGAUGAUACGCGAGGAACCUUACCAGGGCUUAAAUGUAGAUUGACAGGUCUGGAAACAGACUUUUCUUCGGACAAUUUACAAGGUGCUGCAUGGUUGUCGUCAGCUCGUGCCGUGAGGUGUCAGGUUAAGUCCUAUAACGAGCGCAACCCCUGUCGUUAGUUGCCAGCGAGUCAAGUCGGGAACUCUAACGAGACUGCCAGUGUAAACUGUGAGGAAGGUGGGGAUGACGUCAAAUCAUCACGGCCCUUACGUCCUGGGCCACACACGUGCUACAAUGGUAGGUACAGAGAGCAGCCACUGCGCGAGCAGGAGCGAAUCUACAAAACCUAUCUCAGUUCGGAUCGGAGUCUGCAACUCGACUCCG